AAGUUGGGGAUGUGAAAGCUCACAAGGUUUCAGAAGACCUACUUAAAACGCCACUUAUAAGAUCUUGUGAGCAUGGUGGUGAGAUCAACUGUGUAUCGUGGGCAAAGGAGGGUGAAGGGACAAAGGUUUUAGAGGGUUCUUUUAUGCAUAAAAGUUUACGAGUUGGGUUCAUGCUCAAAAAGGGCAACAGAGUUUAAGGUCUCUUAGAAGGCCCAUUCCAAGAACCCAG